rnacentral:rRNA from 1 species
AUUGAACGCUGGCGGCAGGCCUAACACAUGCAAGUCGAACGAGUGGCGGACGGGUGAGUAAUGUCUGGGAAACUGCCUGAUGGAGGGGGAUAACUACUGGAAACGGUAGCUAAUACCGCAUACCAUCAGAUGUGCCCGGGUGGGAUUAGCUUGUUGGUGGGGGAACGGCUCACCAAGGCGACGAUCCCUAGCUGGGCUGAGAGGAUGACGGGCACAACUGGAACUGGGACUGGUGCAAGACCCCGACGGGAGGCAGCAGUGGGGAAUAUGGCACAAUGGGCGCAAGCCUGAUGCAGCCAUGCCGCGUGUAUGAAGAGGGCCUUCGGGUUGGAAAGUAAUUCCAGCGGGGAGGCGUUACCCGCAGAAGAAGCACCGGCUAACUCCGUGCCAGCAGCCGCGUAAUAC